GUCACCAUAAGUCAGAAAUGACUUGAAGGUGCACAGCAACAGCAAGGUCGAGCAAACAUGCUGCUAAACAAGGCUGGCCAGAUGUCCUAACUGCAAGGAAGGACCUGACACCACAGAAUGUAAGACAAUACAAAAUAAAAGAGAUGGAGGAGGCAUAACAGAAGGAGAGGGUUGCCUGCUGCUGCCGCUGCUUCCCACUAAAGUAUCUGCUGCCUGACACAGCCACUUCAGUUUGGCUCACAAUCAGACCAGUCCUGGCAGAGAAUGAGGAAUGUACAGGAAAUGUGUGGAUAAAAGAGGCUAAAAGCAGAAACAAAGGGGAGAGACACGAUCAGGAACUCAGACCAGAGGCUCUGGCAAGCUGGAAUUUGAGUUGAUCCAAAAGGAGUAGAGGGCACAUAAAGCUGCUAGAACUUGGAAGGAAAAAGGAGAAAUGUGCUCAGCAAGACACAGAUGUUCAAGGGAGAAUAAGGAAUUUUCUGACCUACAGCUUCAUGAGAAACAUCCGUUUUCACGGAAAUGCUGUCACUGAUAUAUUUACGCACAUACUGUUCGUACUAUAUUUGUUGUUGUGUGGCUUCAAGUUGUCUCCAACUGAUGGUGACUCUA